CUGCCCUUCCUAUCUCCUUGUCCGUCACCCUCACAACCAGCUGAACCCCGUCAUCAAACAACCAGCACUCGGGCAUCAACCGUUUGAAUCUCCACCUUCACGACCUCUGUUGUUGUCCCCGUCGUAAAGCAGCCUCCAGGCCAGUCAUUUGCUCAACGGCAAUUAUGCUCACCUGAGCUGCCCGCUUGCUUCACCUCACGUCCAAACACACUAACCAAACAACCCUCCGUCCAUUUUCUUCUUAAGCUCCAUGAACGAGCUAACCCACGGACUACCCUCAUCCAACCAGCUCGACGCCACAGGUCAGCCACUCCACUGCUCCGCUCGUCCAAUGACUCCACUGCUCCGUCCCCCAACCAGCCAUCGCCUUUGUCACCCGGUUCGUGGUCGUCUUCGUCGUCUAAUUUUGUCGCUUUAAAUCAAUCAUAAAAUAUACACAUUUUCCGGGCCAGUUCUAGUUUAUUUUGGUUUUAAAGUUUUCGGGCAGAUUUGUUUCCAUUCGAGUUCGUCAUUGUUUCGAUCCGGUUAGUUGGUUUAAAUUUCAUUUUGGAUCUAAAAUCAGUAUAUAUUUGAUUAUUUUCUUGUUCUUUGUUUAUAAUUUCUUGAUUAUUUCUUCAGUUUGUUUUAGUCAUUUGUUCUUGUUUAGUUUUAAUAUGGAAAUAGUUUAGUGUAAUCACUUGAAUCCUUGAUCUUGAUUUUGAUAUUGUUAGAUUUAAAUUUGGAGUUCGAUUGAUGAUUUAAUUUUUUGUAAUUUGAAUCUACUAAUUGUCUGUAAGUUUAUCAUUAAAUGUGAAUCUGAUUUUGUUUGAAGUAAUUCUUAAAUAUUGUUGAUUAGGAGUUUGUUCAUGAGGUUAAUUGUUGAUUUUGAUUAAGAAUUUGUUAUAGUUGCUAUUUUUUGGUUAAUUGAUUUAGAUGAAUUGGCUAUAGCUGACGAUGGUAUAAUGGUAAUUUUAGUAGUUUGAGGGGAUAUUAUUGGAAUUGAAAAAUAAAGAAUUGUUUAAAAAUAUAGUGGAGAAGAUAAUUAUGUAAAGUAAAAAGAAGGGACAAGACAUAUGGGGAGCAUAAUGAUUAAGUAAAAAGAGAGUGGAUUGUGGGAUCCACGUUUAACUGCUUUUGUUGAUUGAGAAUUAAAAAUAGUAGGGUAAUAAUAAAAGGGAUGGUAAUAAUAGUAAAAGGGUAGAAGAUAAUAGAGUCCUGCUUGGGAUAAAUAGGGGUCAUUUUAACACUUAAAAGGGACAGAAUUUUGGAGAGAAAAAAUUUCAGAACUUAAGAGUAAAAGGGAGGUCUUUUCCUUACCACUGAAUAUCAGAACUAGUACUGUUACUACUUCACUGGUUAUUGCUUGAUUUUCUGCUUGGUUUUUAAAUCUAUUCCUGGGGUCUUUCCGUAUUGUUUGUUGCUGGUUUACUGCUUUGGUUGUUGAACCUGUUGUUGCUGUGUUGUGCUACUGCUGCACUACUGACUUCUUCCUCUUCUUUGCUUUCUAAAUACCAGGUAUACGACUGUAACUUUGGCUGUUGUAAGCUGAAAAAUUUAGAAGCAUGAAUACAUAUAAAAAUGGAAGUUUGAAGUUUUGACUUAACUUUUCUUCUUUACAUGAUUUUAUUUUAG
rnacentral:lncRNA from 1 species